UGCCAAGCAGCCGCGGUAAUUCCAGCUCCAAUAGCGUAUAUUAAAGUUGUUGCAGUUAAAAAGCUCGUAGUUGGAUUUCGGGGCCUGGACGGCUGUCACCCACUGGGUAGGCGUGCCGUCCGGGUCCUUUACUUCCGGGGACGGCGUCACGAUUAAUUUUGGGGCGUUCGGACGCGGAUCGUUUACUUUGAAAAAAUUAGAGUGUUCAAAGCAGGCCUUCGCUUGAAUACAGUAGCAUGGAAUAAUGGAAUAGGACUCUGGGCCUAUUUUGUUGGUUUCUGGGACUAGAGUAAUGAUUAAUAGGGACAGUUGGGGGCGUUCAUAUUCCGAUGUCAGAGGUGAAAUUCUUGGAUUUUCGGAAGAUGAACUUCUGCGAAAGCAUUCGCCAAGGAUGUUUUCAUUAAUCAAGAACGAAAGUUAGGGGAUCGAAGACGAUCAGAUACCGUCGUAGUCUUAACCAUAAACUAUGCCGACUCAGGAUCAGGCGAUGUUCGAUUUCGACUCGCUUGGCACUGUGUGAGAAAUCAAAGUUUUUGGGUUCCGGGGGGAGUAUGGUCGCAGGGCUGAAACUUAAAGGAAUUGACGGAAGGGCACACCAGAAGUGGAGCCUGCGGCUUAAUUUGACUCAACACGGGGAAACUUACCAGGUCCAGACACAGUAAGGAUUGACAGAUUGAGAGCUCUUUCUUGAUUCUGUGGGUGGUGGUGCAUGGCCGUUCUUAGUUGGUGGAGUGAUUUGUCUGGUUAAUUCCGAUAACGAACGAGACCUCAGCCUGCUAACUAGGUCGUCGAUCCACGCGAUCGGUCGACCUUCUUAGAGGGACUAUUCGUGUUUAACGAAGGGAAGUUUGAGGCAAUAACAGGUCUGUGAUGCCCAAGGCGAAUCGCGCCGCUAACUCAGUCGGCUUAUAGUGAGUCGUAUUACAUCACUGGCGUCGAUUACAACGGUCUGGAC
rnacentral:rRNA from 1 species